AAAAAAUACAUACUCACGCAAGUAUACAGAAGCUAUAUAGGAAACUUUAACCUGUUUAUUGUCAGUUCUAAUUUCUUCUCCCUAAAGGUAAGAACUAUCUUUCAUUGGUUGAGUGUGUCACCAGCUACAUGCAGGAGGAAACUUUAAUUAAACCAACUUUAUAAACCAAAAGUGCCUGCUUGCUGCAUAACUUUCUUUAUACACGUUGGUAAAACAAGUCAACAAUAGGGCCAUUUAUACGUGACAAAAUAAGUCGCGACUUACAUAAGACGCGACUUAAAUAAGUGGAGUUAUCACAUAAAUGGUUCUCUACGGCUUUGAUCUUAUUUAUUUGCUAUAGCUAUAAUGUUGUUUUGGUUGUUUUUGUUUUAAUAUGCAAGGCAUUAAAUUUUACGUUGUUUCAAGUUUCUGGCAUGUGUAGUUAGACUUUUUGUCCAAAAUUUCUUAUUUAAGACGCGGCUUAAAUAGGAACAGCUAAAAGACCUGUUCUUAUGUAAGACGCGUCUUAUCCAAGACGCGUCUUACAUAAGAAUUUUGUACCUUUUAUACGACAAACUCGCGUCUUAUUUAAGUCGCGUCUUAUGUAAGUCGCGUCUUAUUUUGUUCCGUAUAAAUAGGCCUAUUAUAUUAUUAUAUAGUCGCUUGAACUAUUUCAUCACUUUUGAACCUUUGACGAGACUGCUACCUUUGAAACUAAUACUUUACCCGUUCGUAAUGCCAUAGAUUUAUUUUAUUUUCAUAUUAAAUAAAACACAAUAGGGCCAUUUAUACGGGAUAAAAUAAGUCGCGACUUACAUAAGACGCGACUUAAAUAAGAACAGCUAAAGUUAUCCAAGACGCGUCUUACAUAAGAAUUUUGUACCUUUUAUACGACAAACUCGCGUCUUACUUAAGUCGCGUCUUAUGUACGUCGCGUCUUAUUUUGUUCCGUAUAAAUAGCCCAAAUGUCUCGAGAACGAAAAAAGAUAAGCUAGACUAAAAUUGACCACUAUAACAGUUAUUUUAUAGUUUUACAUGUUCUUUCCGCCUAAAUGCUGACUUGAAUUUCGUUACCACUGUAGUAAACUCUGCAUGGGCAAAUAUCACACAAGACUUUGUAUAGACAUUCAGGCAAUUACGCCAAAGCUAAACAUUAAUUUAAUUAAAGAACUUUCGAAUUUUUUUCUGUAAUUUGAAGAUAAAAAUGUAGUUGUUCUCAAGCAAUUUGUGUGGCUUUUUUUUUAAUAAUUAGUGUAUUGUGCUUUUAAAAGAUAUUUCGUUAUCUUGCACACAUUAAUAAGAUCCUUGACCUUGUAAGUUUGCGUGGUGAAAACAGAUAUAAUUGUAAAUGUUUCGUUUUAUUUUGUUGAAUUGUGAACACGCUAAUCUAUUUACCUCUGCUUUGUUGAAGAUUUCGAUCAUUGUUGCUACACUAAUAGCGGCACUGGUGAAGAUCGAUGCAAGCUUACAGAUCAAAAGCUACAAAAUAAACGUGAUGUUUCCACAAAUACUCUGAACGGCUGAACAAAUAUAUUUCCGGCAUGCAAUCAAACAAGCAAGUGCCGCGGCGAAAUUAAAACUUAUCCACUGAGUAUAUCAAAUGAAGUAGUCUACUUUAGUAUUUCCUUACACUGGACUUCGAUGAACAACAGUUUAAUCACUGACUAAUGGAGGUGGAAUUCCAAAACCAAAUUAUAGUAUCACAAAGGUUGACAAUGAAAAAUUUAAGCAUACAGUAUUUUGUAAGAGUUUACUCCUUAGUAAGGAUAAAUAUACAAUUAAGAUGUAAACAAGUACUCUAUAUAGUAUAAAUAAAUUGAGUCCAUUUUAGGUUUCGUCCGGUAUAGUUACAAUGGACCACUAUAUAGAUCUCUGUAUAAGAACAAGCUUUUUCAAUAAACACAGUAUGUCCGUGUUUCGUUGUUGCGUGGGAUUCAACCGAUAUUAUAGGCCUAUCUUUAAUUGGAUUUAGCGCAUCAAGUCGCUUGACAAAAGAAGAAACUGUGAGUUUGUAAUAGUUUCCGAUUCAAGACAAAUGCUAGCAGUAUGUGCAGUGUAAGUUAUUUUAUGCG